GGUAACACACACAGGAAGUUCCUAUUCUACAACAACAAACCGAUGUGUUAAUUUCUGAUGUGAAACAAACUAAAGUGUGUGAAAAUGGACGAGGAAUAAACGAGGACCUGAGACAUAGGACCAUGCCUUAGGACUACCUGACCUGAUGACUCCUUGCUGUCCCCAGUCCACCUGGUCGUGCUGCUGCUCCAGUUUGAACUGUUCUGCCUGUGGCUAUGGAACCCUGACCUGUUCACCGGACGUGCUACCUGUCCCAGACCUGCUGUUUUCAACUCUCUAGAGACCCCAAGAGCGGUAGAGAUACUCUGAAUGAUCGGCUAUGAAAAGCCAACUGACAUUUACUCCUGAGGUGCUGACCGGCACCCUCUACAACCACUGUGAUUAUUAUUAUUUGACCCUACUGGUCAUUUAUGAACAUUUGAACAUCUUGGCCAUGUUCUGUUAUAAUCUCCACUCAGCACAGCCAGAAGAGGACUGGCCACCCCUCAGCCUGGUUCCUCUCUAGGUUUCUUCCUAGGUUCUGGCCUUUUUAGGGAGUUUUUCUUAGCCACCGUGCUUCUACAUCUGCAUUGCUUGCUGUUUGGGGUUUUAGGCUGGGUUUUUGUACAGCACUUUGUGACAUCAGCUGAUGUAAGAAGGGCUUUAUAAAUUAAUGUGAUUGAUUGAAACUCUUUUCUUUUGGGGGAACUAUCAUUUUCAAAUGUGUUCUAUUUUAGUCCAUGAUAUUGUUACAAAAUAGAUGUGUUGACUGAUUAGGGUAUGGGAAUAUAAGAGCAUCUGCUAGGCUAAAUUAAACUAGGCAUGCACAGCGCACCACAUGAUCCUCAAACCAAAGACUGGCCAAACUCGUGCUUCUAAAAGUGAAUUCAAUAAGGUGUUCCCCACACAAGGGCUUUCUUACAGACAGAAAUACCCUCCCCCCUCAUCAGAUUUGGAGGUCCUGGGCUACAUUUUUUGUAGGUAUGGGAUCUUUUAUUUCAACUCAAGAAAAAUGGGACCAGUGUUUUAUUUUUGUUCAGUGUAGCAUUAUAGAUCGCUUUAUAUAAUUAGGUCUAUUUUAAUUUAUUUUGAAAUCUUAAAUUAUCAAGAUGUAGGCCUAUGCUUUUAGUCAUUUUCUUCAACUAAAGCCACAGCACCCUCACAUAACUCCUCAAUUCAAGACCUGUUUUGACCUUAACACAGCAAGCUCUUCACUUACACAGAUAUUUAAGGAGUGCAUGGUCACUGAAGUGAUUGGCUGACAAUCUAUGGAUGGUAGACUAUAAAUUCAUCUGUCAAACAGGUAGGCCUACCUGUUAUUUCUUGAAUAUGAAUAGGUUCUUCAACAAAGCACUCUUGUUAGUAUUCUAAAGUCAAAUUAAAAUGAAGACUUUAAAUUAAUUAGGUCUUCUUAUAUUUACCUACUACCCAUGCGCUGCACAACUCCGCGGCUGCAAAGUAAUGUAUGUAAAUUACUCAGGGCUUUUUGAGGUCAAUAACUCUGAUAAAUAGCUUCAUUAUGGGCAACUAAACCAAUGUUUAUAUUAAAAUUAAUUAUAACGAGGUCAUCCUCUUCACGCUCUCCCUUUCAAACGGAACAGGACAUCAGUAGGUCUAGUCCGCGUGAACAGAUAUUGCAUUUUUUUAAAUACAUAUAUUGACUGGCCUCCUGAAGUGCCACCGUACACAGCACAGUCAUUGGUUAGGCAGCCGCAGCACAAAGGGGUUUACUUCAGCAAGAGCAUUGCAGGACGGGCCUCUUGAUUGGGAACGCCUAUCCAUUGCAGUGUGUAAUGCAGUGUAGCCUAGUUUUAUAUUCACCAUCUCAGCAGCGCAAAAACUUGGGAUGGAAGUUCAUUAUUUUAGGAACAUAGCUUUGCCCUGUGCUCUUCGUGUAGCCUAGGCCUAUAGUAUAGACCAGCCUUUCUCAAACUAUUUUGUGCCAGGGAGACCCCAGAGGGUUUUUAAUAUUUGUAUUUUGUUGCAGCAAGAGAGAAGCUGGUCUCACAUAAGUAGGUAGAAUGAAAGGGGAUUCACUUCAACUCUGCCAUAUCGCGUUUGCUGCUGAACAGUCAGAAUGUGAACAGGCGCAUCUCAUUAAAACGAGAGCGCAGGCCUUGGUCACAGGACAGCUCCAAUAGUUUAUCAUCAAUAACUGAUGACAAGCUGUGAGUCUCUUCAGUGCUGGUGAACGGAUUACGUAUCCACUGCUUUCUCAGGUGUGGAUCAGAUUGAGAGGAGAAGUAAUCUUCGAAUUUGAGCAGAGUUUUGCUCAGAUGUGACCCCAACAAUUUAUGUAUGUGAUCCAUGUCUACAUAACCCACGUCAGUCUCAGAGUUUAGAAUAGAGGGGACAUAUCGAAAAAUGCCCCUAUCCACUCGGUCUCUCCAGACACCCAGUUUUUUCUUGAAAUCGGCAAUUCUAUCGUUUGCUUGGAAAAUUUCACUUUAGCGUCCCUGCAUGGCUAGGUUGAGCAGCAGUCUUGUCUAUAGGCCUGCAGUUCCCGAUACAACGGUCCCAUCGUAAUCCAUGUCCGUAUGUACUCGUUCAGGACACGCAGUUGUAUUCUGAGGCAACUCUUUGCCAGGUAAUUUUCAUAUGUGGCAAAUACAUACAAGAAGCGGAAUUUGAAAUGUCAGUCUUCUUGUGAACUACAAUUCUGACGCUGUGUUUUAACGUUUAUAAACAUCCAAUAAUCGUCAGUGAUGAGUGACUAUGACUGCCAGUAAAACAGACGGGGAUGGAACUGGGCCAGUGGAGCAGGCUCUGUCUCAGGUACAGUAAACCAAACACACACACACUGAACAGCCAAUCCCAGCACACUAGUCAUUAUCUCUGAGUGUACAUUGCAUCUGUGUGGUGCAUUUGUGCAUGUUUUUCAUGUGCUCACGUGAGUGUUUUCCUGUGUGUGUGUGUGUGUGUUCCACAGGACACAUCAGUGAUGACAGUGUCUCAGUGUGUUCUGGCUCUGUGGAUGCUGUUUCCUACCUGACCCCGGAGCAGGGGCUGAUGAGCAUGCCCAAGACCAUGGUAAUGUGCCACCUGGCCCUGGCAGACCUGCUCAGGGUGUUGCGGAGCAGCUACAGAUGAGUUUCCAGUAGCUGUUUGGUUCCCCUGCGGCCCUACAUCCUCCGGGCCCAGCCUGCACCACCAAACCGUGGAGAGCAGCCCUCCAACCUAAAAUACUGGCACCCAGCCCUGAGGGCCUGCAAGCCCAGGUUCUGUAAGAACCACUAUGCGGAGAUGGAGGCCACUCUCCUCAGGGUGUACGAAUGGCUACUGGACCGGUUCUCCUUCUUCCUGGGGGUGAAACCUGACUAUGUGUAUGAAGAAGUACUGAAGGUGGAGAGGCAUUUCCUCAGGAGCAGCAAGCCCUGGGCUAGAGCUUUAACUACGCCCACAAAGACACAGCCCAGAAAACAGCCCAACGGCAAACAAACCAGAAAAACAACUUUGUUCUCUAGGCAGCUAAAGAGAGUAACUUCAUCGGGACCAACUACUGUGGAUUGUUACUGUGCCAUAAUGCCAUGCUGACGGAUUACUUUCGUUUUUGUCUCGAUGUAACAUGAUUGAGUGUUUGCCUUUUUGUACAAAUUGCCUGUGGAUUACAAUGUGAUUACGAUGCGAAAUGAUGUUUAUGAACAUGCUGUACUUUCAGUUAUAUUAAACUAUAUUUUCUGUUA